rnacentral:rRNA from 1 species
AGUGAACGCUGGCGGUAGGCCUAACACAUGCAAGUCGAACGGCAGCACAGUAAGAGCUUGCUCUUACGGGUGGCGAGUGGCGGACGGGUGAGGAAUACAUCGGAAUCUACUUUUUCGUGGGGGAUAACGUAGGUAAACUUACGCUAAUACCGCAUACGACCUACGGGUGAAAGCAGGGGAUCUUCGGACCUUGCGCGUUUGAAUGAGCCGAUGUCGGAUUAGCUAGUUGGCGGGGUAAAGGCCCACCAAGGCGACGAUCCGUAGCUGGUCUGAGAGGAUGAUCAGCCACACUGGAACUGAGACACGGUCCAGACUCCUACGGGAGGCAGCAGUGGGGAAUAUUGGACAAUGGGCGCAAGCCUGAUCCAGCCAUACCGCGUGGGAGAAGAAGGCCUUCGGGUUGUAAAGCCCUUUUGUUGGGAAAGAAAAGCAGCAGGUUAAUACCCCGCUGUUCUGACGGUACCCAAAGAAUAAGCACCGGCUAACUUCGUG